rnacentral:rRNA from 1 species
AUACGUAGGUGACAAGCGUUAUCCGGAUUUACUGGGCGUAAAGGGCGUGUAGGCGGUCUUGCAAGUCAGAAGUGAAAUUCCUGAGCUCAACUCGGGCGCUGCUUCUGAAACUGCAGGACUUGAGUGCUGGAGGGGAUAGCGGAAUUCCUAGUGUAGCGGUGAAAUGCGUAGAUAUUAGGAGGAACACCGGGGGCGAAGGCGGCUUACUGGACUUUAACUGACGUUGAGGCUCGAAAGCGUGGGGAGCAAACAGGAUUAGAUACCCGGGUAGUCCACGCCGUAAACGAUGAAUACUAGGUGUAGGGGGUAUCGACUCCCUCUGUGCCGCAGUUAACACAAUAAGUAUUCCGCCUGGGGAGUACGGCCGCAAGGUUGAAACUCAAAUGAAUUGACGGGG